UACGUAUGGGGCAAACGUUGUUCGGAAUCAUUGGGCGUAAAGGGCACGUAGGCGGGCCAUUAAGUUGGAUGUGUAAUCUUCAGGCUCAACCUGAUACCCGCAUCCAAAACUGGUGGUCUAGAGUCUCGGAGAGGAAGGCGGAAUUCUCGGUGUAGCGGUGGAAUGCGCAGAUAUCGAGAGGAACACCAAUGGCGAAGGCAGCCUUCUGGACGAUGACUGACGCUCAGGUGCGAAAGCGUGGGGAGCAAACAGG
rnacentral:rRNA from 1 species